UACGUAGGGCGCGAGCGUUGUCCGGAUUUAUUGGGCGUAAAGAGCUCGUAGGCGGUUUGUCGCGUCGAAUGUGAAAACCCGGGGCUCAACCCCGGGCCUGCAUUCGAUACGGGCAGACUAGAGUUCGGUAGGGGAGUCUGGAAUUCCUGGUGUAGCGGUGAAAUGCGCAGAUAUCAGGAGGAACACCGAUGGCGAAGGCAGGUCUCUGGGCCGAUACUGACGCUGAGGAGCGAAAGCGUGGGGAGCGAACAGG
rnacentral:rRNA from 1 species